rnacentral:rRNA from 1 species
UAGGGAUCUUCCACAAUGGACGAAAGUCUGAUGGAGCAACGCCGCGUGAGUGAAGAAGGGUUUCGGCUCGUAAAGCUCUGUUGGUAGUGAAGAAAGAUAGAGGUAGUAACUGGCCUUUUAUUUGACGGUAAUUACUUAGAAAGUCACGGCUAACUACGUGCC